rnacentral:rRNA from 1 species
ACAACGCUGGCGGCGUGCCUAACACAUGCAAGUCGAGCGAUGAAACUUCCUUCGGGAAGUGGAUUAGCGGCAGACGGGUGAGUAACACGUGGGCAACCUGCCUCAAAGUGGGGAAUAGCCCUCCGAAAGGAGGAAUAAUACCGCAUAAUAUGAUAGGAAUGCAUGUUCCAAUCAUUAAAGAUUUAUCGCUUUGAGAUGGGCCCGCGGCGCAUUAGCUAGUUGGUGAGGUAAGGGCUCACCAAGGCGACGAUGCGUAGCCGACCUGAGAGGGUGAUCGGCCACAUUGGGACUGAGACACGGCCCAGACUCCUACGGGAGGCAGCAGUGGGGAAUAUUGCGCAAUGGGGGAAACCCUGACGCAGCAACGCCGCGUGAGUGAUGAAGGUUUUCGGAUUGUAAAGCUCUGUCUUCAGGGACGAUAAUGACGGUACCUGAGGAGGAAGCCACGGCUAACUACGUG